rnacentral:rRNA from 1 species
GACGAACGCUGGCGGCGUGCCUAAUACAUGCAAGUCGAGCGAGCUUGCCUAGAUGAAUUUGGUGCUUGCACCAAAUGAAACUAGAUACAAGCGAGCGGCGGACGGGUGAGUAACACGUGGGUAACCUGCCCAAGAGACUGGGAUAACACCUGGAAACAGAUGCUAAUACCGGAUAACAACACUAGACGCAUGUCUAGAGUUUAAAAGAUGGUUCUGCUAUCACUCUUGGAUGGACCUGCGGUGCAUUAGCUAGUUGGUAAGGUAACGGCUUACCAAGGCAAUGAUGCAUAGCCGAGUUGAGAGACUGAUUGGCCACAUUGGGACUGAGACACGGCCCAGACUCCUACGGGAGGCAGCAGUAGGGAAUCUUCCACAAUGGACGCAAGUCUGAUGGAGCAACGCCGCGUGAGUGAAGAAGGGUUUCGGCUCGUAAAGCUCUGUUGGUAGUGAAGAAAGAUAGAGGUAGUAACUGGCCUUUAUUUGACGGUAAUUACUUAGAAAGUCACGGCUAACUACGUGCCAGCAGCCGCGGUAAUACGUAGGUGGCAAGCGUUGUCCGGAUUUAUUGGGCGUAAAGCGAGUGCAGGCGGUUCAAUAAGUCUGAUGUGAAAGCCUUCGGCUCAACCGGAGAAUUGCAUCAGAAACUGUUGAACUUGAGUGCAGAAGAGGAGAGUGGAACUCCAUGUGUAGCGGUGGAAUGCGUAGAUAUAUGGAAGAACACCAGUGGCGAAGGCGGCUCUCUGGUCUGCAACUGACGCUGAGGCUCGAAAGCAUGGGUAGCGAACAGG